UACAGAGGGUGCAAGCGUUAAUCGGAAUUACUGGGCGUAAAGCGUGCGCAGGCGGUUAUGUAAGACAGAUGUGAAAUGCCCGGGCUCAACCUGGGAACUGCAUUUGGGACUGCAAGGCUAGAGUGUGUCAGAGGGGGGUAGAAUUCCACGUGUAGCAGUGAAAUGCGUAGAGAUGUGGAGGAAUACCGAUGGCGAAGGCAGCCCCCUGGGAUAACACUGACGCUCAUGCACGAAAGCGUGGGGAGCAAACAGGAUUAGAUACCCCAGUAGU
rnacentral:rRNA from 1 species